UCUCCUAAGAGAAUAUAACGCCGCCCGAUCUGACAGGAGGUGGAGCCCAGGCGGUAAUGCGAGCGACGGGGGACGCCUGUAAAUACAGCUGAAGCUUCGUUCGCUCACCUGCCGCUCACCUCCUGCUGUGCAGUACAGGUGAUCACCUCUCUAACAUGAAGACAGUGACAGGGAGACCUGAUUUGCAGCCUGAUUUGCUGCAAUCCAAGUCCACUCUCAGGAGACAUAAGGAAAGUGAAUCUCCACCUUUUCCCAGAUGCUAAAGAAUAAAUGUAAGAAUGAGGAAGAGAAUAGCACUGCCUCUUUCAUCAAAUCACAGAAAGUACCUCCCAACCC